ensembl:lncRNA
AUGCUCCUAGGCGGCGUAUUUAGCCCACUGCCGUUAAGGGCUGCUGAAAGUCCUCAAAGUUUUACUUGUUGCGUUUCUCCAGUUUCAAAGUUUGCUGUUAUUAGUUCUUCUUUUGGAAUGAGAAGGCCUCUCCCCAAUUCGCUUGCCAAGCCGAAAGCUUCAGCUCAGGCCCAACCCAAUUUUAAGGACCGUCUGGCUCCUUUUGUGGAUUCUUGGCGCCAAAUCACAACUGACAAAUGGGUCUUGGAUAUCAUUGAGAGAGGCUAUGCUAUUGAGUUUGUCACCCCGCCCCCAACGGGGCAAGUUAGAGGAAUGGCCUCCUCAGACCCAUUAUUGGAAGAAAUUCGAGCUCUCCAAACCAAGGGCGCUAUUCAACGACUGCGCGGCCCAAUCUUACAAAAAUGUUUCUUUUCACGUUAUUUUUUAGUUCCGAAAAAGGAUGGUGGUUUACGCCCCUUCCUGGACCUUCGGGAUGUCAACGCUUAUAUCAGACCCCGAAAGUUUCGCAUGGUCACCCUCCCGGUGAUCCUGUCUCUCAUUCGGAAAGGCGCUUGGUUCGCAACGGUGGAUUUGAAAGACGCCUAUUUCCACAUUGGGAUCAGGCCUUCUCAUCGCAGAUACCUUAGUUUUAAAGUUGGUCACCGUUGUUUUUGUUUCAACGUUCUCCCAUUUGGGUUGUCAACCGCCCCAAGAGUUUUUACGAAGUGUAUGGCCGUAGUUGCCACCUUCCUCCGCCAACAGGAAGUGAUAGUCUUUCCCUAUAUUGACGACUGGCUUCUGGUGGCAGAUUCCAGAGCCAGGUUGCUUGCCGAUAUUGACUUUACGCUAUCUCUCCUGCAGGAUCUCGGCUUAGUGGUCAACAGGGAAAAAUCGUGCCUGUCCCCAUCCCAAUCGGUCCACUUUAUUGGGGCCCUUAUCGAUUCCAUCCGUCAAAAAGCCUUCUUGCCCGACGACCGCUUUAUCGCCUUAAGGUCGCUGGUCCUCGAGACGUUAAGCGCCCACCGCGUGCGGGCCAGGACUAUUCAAUCCCUCCUGGGGCACAUGGCUUCUACGACGGCCGUCACACCAUUCGCCAGAUUACGCAUGCGCCCGUUGCAGAUGUGGUUUUUGUCGGUUUUCGACGCCCUUCACGACGAUCCAAAGGUCAUGCUCUCCCUGCCCACCGAAGUUCGCAAAUCCCUUCAAUGGUGGACUCAUCGACUCAAUGUGCAGAAGGGUAUGCCAUUUCGCCAACCAAAACCAUCAGCAACACUAACCACGGAUUCGUCCCUUCUGGGAUGGGGCGCCCACUUGGACACCCUCACAGUUCGGGGAACUUGGUCCCCGACAGAGAAAAGCCAUCACAUCAACUUUCUGGAGAUGCUAGCGGUCCAGAAGGCCCUCAGGGCUUUCGAGUUCCCACUUUCGGGGCGUGUUGUCCGUCUACUGACAGACAACACCACGACAAAGUUUUACAUCAACAAACAAGGGGGAACUCGGUCCCGCAAGCUGAUAAACCUAACCUUACAGAUCUGGGAUUGGUGCAUCACCAGGGGGAUACAUCUGGUGGCACUUUAUCUCCCCGGAAAGGACAACGAGCUAGCAGACGAGUUGAGCAGGACUCCCAGCUCCUGCCACGAAUGGCGGAUCCACCCGCAGAUACUAGACUCAGUCUUCGCAGCAUGGGGCCAACCGGCGGUGGACCUAUUCGCCUCCCCCAAGAACCGCCACUGCGAUCUAUUCUGCGCAAGAUGCCCUCCAAACACCCAGUCGGGAUGUCUGGGCGACGCGUUUCUUUACACCUGGGAACCCGGGUUGCUUUACGCGUACCCACCAAUCCCUCUGAUAACGAGAGUCGUAUCGAAACUACUUCAAGACAACGCGGAUUGUAUUCUUCUAACACCGUGGUGGCCUCGGCAACCGUGGUUCGGGCCACUUCUCCAAGCAUCUCAAGGAAUAUUCCAUCACCUACCCUUCAGGCCAGACGUCCUGACAACCCACAACGGCCUUGUCCGUCACCCGGACGCUCGCUCUCUGCGCCUCACGGCAUGGAGGAUACGGCCUUGCUCUCAGCCCCUGUGA